rnacentral:tRNA from 1 species
ACCUGGCUGGCUCCGGAAGUACAGCAUGAGACUCUUGAUCUCAGGGUUGUGGGUUCAAGCCCCACAUCGGGUA